AGUGAAGUGCAAAAGUAAAGAAAGUUGUAAAGAAAGUUUCCACUCGUGAAUUGUUCGGAAACUUGUAAAAAUCGGAUGUCCAUUGCUAGCCCCUGGCUGGGUCACCCGCACCCACGCGCACGCACACGAUUUCACACUUUUUCGUUUAUACGCCACCACGGUCGUAGGAUGGCGUGCUCGCGCAAUCCAGCAGUGCUUCAGGGCGAAUUUUAAUUUUCACUAGCGGGGUGCCCUCCCUGUGUAUUGUCAUUAGAGAGAGGCCAACGACGGUCGGCAAGGGGGAAAAGUCAGGCCACGAAUUAUGGGCAGAGAAAGGGAACGCAGGAGGGAGAGAGACAUCCACGGUGUUAUUAGAUUUCUUGCAAAUUACUCGCGCGUCCCAUUAACGAGUCCCAUCUGUCUGGAUUACGAGGCGAGCGCGGCCUUGCUCCGCUCGCGUCCUCUCGUCCCUGCUCGGCGAUUUAAAGCGUUACUCUCUCGCCCUUUCCCUCCCCUCGUUCCCUUCUUCGUUCGUCCAGAACACGCGAAUUUUUCUUUCGCUUUCUGAAUGGGCCCACCAGCUCUGCAGAAUCGCGAACCUUCGAGAUUCACGUUCGUCCAAUUUAGUUCGAUAAACCUAUGAUCCGACUGUACACUGUACGUAAAUGAUAAAAAGAAAAGAGUAACGCGUAGCUAAAUAACGUUUGGAGUGUCCAAGUUGCGAACGACGGGAAUUAAGGCAGAUUCGCGCAGUGUGGCCACUCGCAAGGGCCACCCAGGUUCGAAGGUAUCGCGAUAUCGUAUCGAUCUUCCCCGUGGCCCUAAACACGACGGGAGAGAGAAAAAAAAAACAAGGCAAUUUCCGAAAGGAAACACGCGAAAUCGAUAGCCAGGCCGGGCUUCGCCUAUGGUCGUAGACUUUACGACUCGGUGCUGCGUGGAAAAGUCACGACCACGCGUGGAAACACCGACGAUGCGGGCGGUGGAAAGAAUUGGAAAAGUGGAAAUAGCCUCGGCGAAAUUGCUAAGUCGAAAUGGGCUUCCUGAAAACUUUCGCAGACGCCGCUGUCGUUGCCUCUUCGAUUUUAUCGGAUCGAGUCGAAUGGCCGCCUAACGUUGGCCGAUGAAUGCUGGGAGGAAUUUGAGGAAACGAAGGCCGAGCGAGUGGAAUGUACAGUCCAUAAACAAGUUUACACAAUGAUUAUUGAGGAAUGAUUAACACAGUUUACGAUAAGUAUAAUAUACAUUGCAUCUUACGGUGUCUUGUACCAGUGAUCUCGUAGAUCAGUUCACGGUUGUUUAUAGCGGCACUUUCUCUGGAGGUGCUCGAAGCACGACAUAAAACCAGGAAGAUUUCGUUGAGUUUACACCCUCGUCACGAGACAACCAUCGUAAAAUACGAAAUCAUCGACCGGGGCGAGAAUUAUACCUCCCGCGACCCUUUCGCUUUCAACGUUGAACCUACGAACGAGCCCUCCCCCGCGCAACGACGCGAGUGGACAGCGGCCACCCCUCGGCGAUACUCAAUUUCCAGCUCAAACAACCAACAGCCGCGGCGGGGGUAACGAAAGCCCUGUUUGUCGGGGAAGACGAAAUAAAAAAAAAGUAAUAAAAGAAAGAGGACUUAGCGAAGAACGUGUCAUCGUUCGACCAUCAAUACCACCUCCACCGAAAAUAAACACCGGCACCCGUGGACCCGUCCGGCUCGUCGCCGUGGCGAUGGGUGGUGGAAAGAGGGAAAAAAAUCCUUCCACCGAAAAACUUUCGCCUCCAGACAAGCGGAUGCAAAUGGGAUAGAGAGAGGCGAGGGGAGAGGGUGGCGAUGGGGUAGGCGGCGGUGUUGGCCGGCCAAGAGGUCGGCGAAAGAGGGGCUGGAAAGGAGGUGGAAAGAGGUGGAGCAGAGGAGCGAGCGAGGGUGGCAACGAGGAGGAAAAGGGACGACGCGGGAGGGUUGAUAUCGGCUAGAAGGCCUGCUCGGUCACGGGGUAGGAUGCGAGGGGGUUUCAAGGGUGGCCGACGGCCGCCUUUGGAUUUAUUGGGAUUCGAGUAACUCCAUGCGACGUUAUCGUGCGCCGUUCCUCCGAGUCAACCGUGGUCGCCACUGACCUCUUCAAGUUCCACCGAAACACGCUGCGAACCCCACGCUCUUCGAAACGUUGAAAUUGUUGCGAGAUACGCAUCGCGGGAAGAAACACAGAAUGAUUGAGAUCCAAGGAGGGCGAUAAAAUAACGCUGGGGAAGGACGAGCAACUUUAUCGUUCUUAUGGCGUUAUCUUAUUAAGGAUGAGCUGGCGGGGUGCA